rnacentral:rRNA from 1 species
AACCAGCUCUUCAAGUGGUCGGGACUAUUAUUGGGCUUAAAGUGUCCGUAGCCGGUAUAGUAAGUUCCUGGUUAAAUCGGAUAGCUCAACUAUCUGUUGGCUAGGAAUACUGCUAUACUAGGGGGCGGGAGAGGCCUGAGGUACUCCAGGGGUAGGGGUGAAAUCCUAUAAUCCUUGGGGGACCACCAGUGGCGAAGGCGUCAGACUGGAACGCGCUCGACGGUGAGGGACGAAAGCCAGGGGAGCGAACCGGAUUAGAUACCCGGGUAGUCCUGGCUGUAAACGAUGCGUGCUAGGUGUUGGUAUGGCCUUGAGCCGUAUCAGUGCCGUAGGGAAACCGAUAAGCGCGCCGCCUGGGGAGUACGGUCGCAAGACUGAAACUUAAAGGAAUUGGCGGGCGAGCACCACAAGGGGUGAAGCCUGCGGUUC